UUUUUUUUUUAGGAAUAUAGCAGGUGCUCUGCUUUUGCAUUAUAGUAGGAAGCAAAGUAUGUACAAGAGGUUACAAAACAAAAGGAAGACUAUAUGACAGUAAUUACAGAUCCAUCAACUACUCUCCCUUUGUGCUCGUGCUAAUCGAAUAUCAUGGAGGUCUUGUGUGAUGACCUCUACUAGUUGUGACAGUCUCUGUGCCUUGUUGUCAAACACCCUCCGGCACAGCGCUUCUUCCAAAAGUUCCAUGCAAUGUAGAUGAUGUGGUGUGAAAAUUGCUCCUUUAUUGUAGAUAAACUUUCUUUCAGUGUGCGUAUGCAUUUGCGCAAAUAAUGGAAUGCCUAUGUGAUCUAGUUCAGAAGGGACAUUGGCUGCAGGGCAACAGUAAAUUGCAGUGGCCUACGGGUGAUCCCACGCCAAAGAAACACUCAGAGCCUCUACAGCUGCACUCAGUCGACAACAGAGGACAGGUGGACGUCAUGUCAGCUCCCAACAUCUAUGAACUGGCUCCGCUGCUAACAAGGGACAAGACAAUUCCAUUUAAGAGAUGUCCUGAGUGCCUGAUCGAUUCAGCGGCUGCAAAGCUAUUAGGGACACCACCGAGACACAGGACACCAACUGCCCCCUUGUUCAGCACAUCUCCAAACCCAUGGUCACAGGAAGGAUGCAGUGCCCCUGCGACAAGGUUUAAUUGUGCCAGUGCCGUAUCGUGUGCUGCUGCCUCUGCCUCUGAAAUCUGAAUAUGCACAGGCAUAUGUUUCGUUGAAACUAUCAUAUCCUCCAGGAAUUUGAAUGCCGCCGUGAACAUCCCUGGAGUUUGAUCCUGACUGUUUUCAGUGGUGUGUAGCAUAUUCCUUCUUCAGACAAUGUAGUAUUUGUUAUCGUUUCAAUAAAAUUACACAGCAGAAGUGUGUUAAGUUGCUCUCUGCCA